rnacentral:rRNA from 1 species
AUCGAACGCUGGCGGCAGGCCUAACACAUGCAAGUCGAGCGAGAGGCGGACGGGUGAGUAACGUAUGGGUACUUCCCGCUAGAGGGGGAUAACUACUGGAAACCGUAGCCAAUACCGCAUACUACUGGAUAACCCAUAUGGGAUUAGCUAGUAGGUGGGGUAAUGGCUCACCUAGGCGACCAUCCCUAGCUGGUCUGAGAGGAUGAUCCGCCACACUGGGACUGAGACACGGCCCAGACUCCUACGGAGGAAGCAGUGGGGAAUAUUGCACAAUGGGCGCAAUCCUGAUGCAGCCAUGCCGCGGGUAUGAAGAAGGCCUUAGGGUUGUAAAGUCCUUUCAGUCGGGAGGCGUUACCGACAGAAGAAGCACCGGCUAACGCCGUGCCAGCAGCCGCGGUAAUAC